CCGCUUGGCUUCGGCGUCGGCGUCGCUCCCGCGCUGGAGCGGUAGGCCGGCUUCUCUCCGCGGGCCGCGGUGCAGUGUCGGUGGCCAGGGGCGCGCGUAGAACCGCCAGCCCGCGCGGCGUCGGCUGGACGCCAAAGCGCCGGGGUCGUUGUGUCGUGGGAACGACGCCGGUGGCCGCCUCCGCGACAGCAGGUGCGGCCGCUUUAGCCCGGGGCGGGCUCGGCGGCUGCCCGGCGAGUCUCGGCUCGCGCCUAUCCCUUUCCUUCCUGGACCCGACGCCCAGCAGCGACCCUGAGCCUACCGCCGGAGGGGCGGGCAAUGGCGGCCUCGACGGCUUCGCACCGGCCCAUUAAGGGGAUCCUGAAGAACAAGACCUCUACGACUUCCUCUGUGGUAGCCUCCGCCGAGCAGCAGCCCAGCAAGAGUGUCGACGAAGAACUGAGUAAAAAAUCCCAGAAGUGGGAUGAAAUGAACAUCCUGGCGACAUAUCAUCCAGCAGACAAAGACUAUGGUUUAAUGAAAAUAGAUGAACCAAGCACGCCAUACCACCGUAUGAUAGGUGAUGAUGAAGAUGCAUUGAGUGAUUCAGAAAACACUGAAGCCCUGAUCCCAGAUACGUUAGCUAAGAAAUUAGCUGCUGCUGAAGGCUCGGAGCCCAAGUAUCAGGUUCAUGUACAAGAAAGCAGUGACGAUGAAGACAGUGACCUCUCACCUGAAGAACAAGAAAAAAAGCGACAGUUUGAAAUGAAAAGGAAGCUUCACUACAAUGAAGGACUGAAUAUGAAAUUAGCUAGGCAAUUAAUUUCAAAAGACCUACAUGAAGAUGAUGAAGAUGAAGAAAUGUUAGAGAGUGCAACUGGAGAAAGUAUGAAUAUGGAAGACUCAAAUCAAGGAUAGGAUAGAAGCCUGGUGCACGGUUGGGGGCCGGCUGGUUUGCCCUGAAGGGUGCCCCGGAUCAAGGAUCUACUACAGGUGACCAACUGCAAAACAAAUCACAGAGUUCAUAGAAGAGAUUUGUUCAACACUCAUUGUUGAUACAACCCCUGUUACUAUACUUUACUGCUCUUGUUAUCUACAAUUCAUGACUUAAGUACCAAAAUGCAUACCAAUGUUGCCAAGAAUUAAAUAACUUUAGAGACUAAUUAGACUUGAAAAUGCCUAAUUGAUAUAUAUAUAUAUAUAUAUUAUUGUGCCUAGUACUUCACCACAAAUACAGCAUAAUAUCAUCAGUCCAAAACUGCAUUACUUUUUUAAGAACACUGGUUAAUUUGUAUAAGAUAUUACAUAGCUCUAUAUGCUUUAGAGGUUAAAUAAUAUCUUGGGAAGCGGGAGGGGAUUUAAUUUAUUUUAUUCACUUCUAGAUGUGAUAGCUCGUAUAAAAUUUUUUAAGUCAAAAUCCAGUUGGAACAACAGAUUAUAUAGGCUGAUAAAUAUUCAAUCUGAAAAGUAUUUUAACACAUUUCAACUUGAUUUUUCUCUUUAAAUAAAAAAGAUUACAAGAAUUACUAUUGCAUUUUCUGGCCUACUACCUUUAAAAUUCCUUUUGAGUUUGUUUAUGUUUUCAGGGAAAGGAUUAAACUUUUUCCUCACGUAAACUAGCUUUAUUCACAAAUAAAUUAUCAGGUUAAACUUGCA